rnacentral:rRNA from 1 species
GACGAACGCUGGCGGCGUGCCUAAUACAUGCAAGUUGAGCGCUGAAGGUUGGUACUUGUACCAACUGGAUGAGCAGCGAACGGGUGAGUAACGCGUGGGGAAUCUGCCUUUGAGCGGGGGACAACAUUUGGAAACGAAUGCUAAUACCGCAUAAAAACUUUAAACACAAGUUUUAAGUUUGAAAGAUGCAAUUGCCUCACUCAAAGAUGAUCCCGCGUUGUAUUAGCUAGUUGGUGAGGUAAAGGCUCACCAAGGCGAUGAUACAUAGCCGACCUGAGAGGGUGAUCGGCCACAUUGGGACUGAGACACGGCCCAAACUCCUACGGGAGGCAGCAGUAGGGAAUCUUCGGCAAUGGACGAAAGUCUGACCGAGCAACGCCGCGUGAGUGAAGAAGGUUUUCGGAUCGUAAAACUCUGUUGGUAGAGAAGAAAGUUGGUGAGAGUGGAAAGCUCAUCAAGUGACGGUAACUACCCAGAAAGGGACGGCUAACCACGUG